rnacentral:lncRNA from 1 species
UUCUUUCAGAAAAUUGAUAGACCUCUCACAAUAAGAACAAUGAAUGUUUUACUAAAUGACUUCGUUUAUUAUUCUCUGCUGUUCUUUGGAUUGAUAUACAUUUAUUUUUCUGGUGACGAAAAAUUUAUGGUUGGGUUUUUAGCAGUGCUAACGUGUUCUGUGUUCAUCAGGAUGAUCUUCAAUACGGGGUGAAUAACAAAAGGUAGGGAGGACAUAAAGGAAAAUUGUUCAUCAUCCGUCAGAUUAUAAACGAACAAUUAGAUAAAGGUAUGUUAUUAUAAAUCAUGUCAGUAGCGAAGUCUGGCUAUUGAGUUGACGAUUCCCUCGGGGACUACUAAACUAUCAGCAGCGAAGUCUGACUAUUGAGUUGCAAUACCCUCGGGGACUACUAAACUAUCAGUAGCGAAGUCUGGCUAUUGAGUUGACGAUUCCCUCGGGGACUACUAAACAUAAGCAGUAGUAUCAGCCAAAUGCUUUAAAUAUGAUAAAUGGGGAGUGUGUCCAUUGUGCACAGAUGAUGCCCUCACUUGCAUAUAAUGCUAUCAAAGGAAAUAACGCAAGAACUAUAAAAGUAACGCUACCAUACAUGUGUACUUUAUUGUGGUUAUUAAUAUUGAGUAUACCUUUCAUUAAACUUAGUUGAGGCACACUUACUAAGAGAACCGAAACGACAAAUCCAGCAUUAUUUCCAUUUGUAAUGGAGCAUAACUCAGCAGAACAGUAAUGCCACCAAAGUUCAAACUUGAUCUGUGUUUUGUGAUAAUAAGCAUUGUGUAAAAGUUUUAUAUUAUUUAGUUGAGGCAAACUAAAGUUCGAGAACGGAAACAAAAAAAUCAUCAAUUUUCUAUUUAAGGAAUGACUGUAAUAUUUUUUCUGUCUAUGAAGAAAUAACAUAAAAAAUUUGGUGCACACUGAAUAACGCGCGUAUCGGGUUAUUUAACAGUGUGCACCACAUUUUUCAUGUUAUUUCGAAUAGACAGAAAAAAUAUUACAGUCAUUUCUUAUAAUUUAAUUCUAAAUUCCAUUUUAAACUGUAGAAAACCAUGAAAAAACGUUGAUGACGUCACGGUCACAUGACUAAAUUAUGUCUAUGAGCUCAUAACAAAAUAACGUCAGCCAAUCAGGAGACGCGUUACAUCCAAAAUUAAAUUAUUUAUAAAGGGACAUACAAUGUAACUCUAGAACUGCAGAAGUGACGCUACCAUGCAAAAUUCAAACGUGGUCUAUGCUUUUAGGUAAUUAGCAUUGUGUAUACGUUUCAUAACAUUUGGUUGAGGCAAGCUAAAGUUAAAAAAUGGAAACCCCCCAAAAAAUCAGCAUUUUUUUUUAUGUGUAAAGUAGCAUACAUUUUUGUAACUCAAGAUCGACAAAAGUGAAGCCACCAAAAUUCAAAUUUGAUCUGCGUCUUGUAUAUGAUUUUAUAACAUUUGGUUGAGGCAAACUAAAGUUGGAGAAAGGAAAUCAGUUUUGGGACGUACGUACAGACGGACAAGAGUAAAACUUACUUCCCACUCCUCUACGGUGGGGGCAUAAAAAAUCAUACUUUACGACCGUCCUUGGGCUGUAAAGCCAUUCAAUGUCGUUAAACACUUCCAUCAUCAUAUAGAUUGUAGGCGUCCGGAGCGCUUUUCUGAAUUUUUCUUUCAUUAGAAAAUUGAUGCAGUUUAUUUAUUUGAGGAGUCCGACCCAUCCUCUUCAACAAAAGGAUAGAUCAUCCUCCUCAACUUUCCUUUGGUAUUUUUCUAGAAAAUUCGUUCUUUUACAAGGGAACUUAAAGUUUAUCAAAAUUUAAAUUGUUUGUUUGUUUAAUUUAAAAAAAAAAGUGUAUUGGUUAAUACCUUAAAGUAUCAUUGAACCGUAAACAAGUAAACAUAAUAAUUACAUGUAGGCACACUAUUAAUAGACAAAUCACAUAAGCAAAAUUAUAAGACAAGUAUACAAAUAAUUACCAUAUUAAAUCAAAGGCGGGAUGAAUAAAUAAUGAGACACUCCAAAAAGGAUACUACCAAAAAUGGACUAAACAUAAAAAGGUUCAAAAGAUACAAAGACAAAUAAAUGACUAAAGAGUUCAGGUUUACGCCAUACAGGUACGAUUUAGAAAGAUGAAAUUGGAUGGGUUUGUUGGACCGUGAAUCAGGUUUAACCCCAUUCUCUUUAGUGUCUGUACCAAAAUCCCUCUACCGUGUUUUUGUUUGCAUGUCUAGAUCGAGUUUGCUCUUAGUUGCGGGGGAUUUGCAAAAAAUAAUUAAUUAUUUAAGCUAUCUACGUAAAAGUAAUAUAUAUGUUUCACCUUGUACAGCUUUCAGCAAAGGCCGGAUUAAUACAAAAUAGUAAAUUAUUUCAAUCAUGUAACAUAUGAGAUAGAAGAUUUUUUUUGCAUGAGAAGUAUUCAUUAAUGACUUUAUAUAUAUGCAGGUACAUGUAACAAGAAUACAUGCCUUCAGAGGUCGACAUAGUCUACAACAAUAUCAGCUAUUAAGAAGUUGUGCAGUUUUUACUGGUAUGAAACAGAUCUCCAGCAAUAACAGAUCGAGACCGCUAUAAACCAGAUCUCCAGCAAUUUCUGAUCCAUAAUGCUAUAAGUCGAUCAUUUGCUGUCAUACAUUGUACUACAUUCGAAGAAAAUGGAGAUUUUAGACCCAGAGUAUUGAUUUGAGGAGCCGAUAAAUGCAUUAAGCUUAUUUUCCACCCAUACUCGUUACAUGUUGAACUGUUUUGUGCAUAUAACGUAACGUAAAAAUUUGCAUUUGUGUUCAAUAGAAGAAGAAAAUAUAUAGCAGAUUUAAUGAAUGCUUAAAAAAAAUAUUUUUACUUGAUAAUAAACUGAUAAAUCACAUUUAGCUAUGCAUAUUUUUAAUGGCUUAGUGUCACGAAUGGUCUAUGGUGUUUGUACAUUGUACAUUGCAAACGGUAUUUAGUGUUCAACAGCUUAGUUCGAACCUUGUUGGAAAUCAAAGAGCAUGAUUGCUCUGAGGGAUACGAUUGCCAUUGUGUUCAUUGAUAUUAGUAUUAUUCUCAAAAAAUAAUUCAACUGCACAUGUAAAAUGUACCUGUGUUCUCUGUUUGAUUUACGUUAUCUGAAUAGUUUUUCAGCUUUAAGAAAUAGCCAAUCCUCGAUACAAGUGUAUGAACAAUGUUAUUAUUGUGUUUUAUUUUUGUACUAUAAAUUCCAAGUUUACUUUCCACAGUAGUCACUGAGGGUCAGAGAAGGUAUCUCACUUCGUACUUUAUCGUCUAUUUUCCUGCGUGAAUUCUAGGAGGAAC